UCCAGGCUGUGUAAAGGCUGUUUGACCAAGAAGGAGAGUGAUGGAGUGCUGCAUCAGAUGACCUGGCCUCCACAAUCACCCGAGCUCAACCCAGUUGAGAUUGUUUGGGAUGAGUCGGACCACAGAGUGAAGGAAAACCAGCCAGAAAGUGCUCAGCAUAUGUGAAAACUCCUUCAAGACUGUUGGAAAAGCAUUCCAGGAAAAUUCAAGAAAAGCCCUUGAAUGAGAAGGACAAUGACCCAACACACCUCCAGGCUGUGUAAGGGCUUUUUGACCAAGAAGGAGAGUGAUGGUGCUGCAUCAGAUGACCUGGCCUCCACAAUCACCCGACCUCAACCCAGUUGAGAUGGUUUGGAAUGACUUGGACCACAGAGUGAAGGAAAAGCAGCCAACAAGUGCUCAGCAUAUGUGGGAACUCCUUCAAAACAUUCCAUUUGAAGUUGGUUGAGAGAAUGCCAAGAGUGCCAAGUUGUCAUCAAGGCAAAGGGUGGCUACUUUGAAGAAAAUAAAAUACAAAAUAUAUUUAGAUUUGUUUAACCCUUUUUUUACUACACAAUUCCAUAUGUGUUAUUUCAUAGUUUUGAUGUCUUCACUAUUACUCUACUAAUAGGUGUGUCCAAACUUUUGACUGGUACUGUAUAUAAUUGUAUUAUUUUCCCUUAACCCUACCACCCCUCCCCUAAUUGGAGUAAACUAAUGGACAACAAUACUUAGGUUUCUACUUCCAGCUUAUACAUACGAUAUACAGACACAGUAUAUUUUACAUUAGUUAUCUUGUUAUUUUUUGUCCCACCCUUCAGCUCCACUCAACUCCUCCCGUCUACCUCUGAACACAAUUCAGUUUAGAUUUCUAUUUACCAUAUAUUUUCAACUGUGACGUUUCACAAAAGUUCUGAACCUUUCUAUUCUCAUAGUUUCUACAGAUUGUAAAUUAAAUAAACAUUUUUGCUAAGAGUAUUAUUAUAUUAUGUAUUGAUUGACUAUGACUUUUUAAAUCACCCAGCAGUGCUAUUUGUAGAGUUGGCUCCUGGUAAAUGUUGCAAUUCUUCAGCCAUUUCUAAACCUGUGACCAAAAAUAAGCUAUUUAUGGACAGUACCAAAAUAAAUGAUCUAAUGAUUCUUUA